AACCAUGUCUCUUUAAGACAGCACAUACAGUAUUGUGGUACAUAAAAACUGUGUUUUCUAAAUAUGUUUAUUAUUAAUAUAAUUUAAUUAGUCUAUUUAAGAAACUAAGCAUCAUUCAAAAUAACUAAAAUUCAAUGGACACAAUUACCAUUUUAAUGUGUGAAAAUUAUGUCUCUGACUCAAGAGAAAUGCAACAAAUAUUAUUUCAGAAUAUAUAUUUCCAACACUUUGAAAACAUGUCUCCAACUGCCCUAGGUCAGAAUAUUGUGAACGUAUCUCUCAAUGCUGCAUACAUCGUUUAAAGGAAGCCGUUCAAAUGACAUCAUGUAACUCAUUUUUGCUAGCUAGGAUGUUGAUAAAUUAGUCAGUGAAAUGUAAAGCUGCUUAUUUUUGCUGAUGUCUCAUGAUUUGAAGUUCACUGUUUCUAUUGUUAUUAUAAUUCUACCCUAACAUUUCAUUAAAUCUUUUAAAAUAGAAACAAAAAUAUCAAUAGACAGGUCCAUAAUCUAAAAGACAGUCUUUCACAUGUGGAUGCAAAACAUGUUGGGUGAAACAGACUGACAAACUCGGGUAAACAUAUCUGCAGAUACCUGUCAGCUACUGUACUUCUAGUCCAGAGGUGCCCAAAGUUGGCCCACAAAAGACCUUAAAUUUUUUUAUGUUUCAUGCAUACUUGAAGGUGUAUAAAAUGCAUCACAAAACCUAAUGAACUCGGGUACUAUAGGCUAAAAAUGAAGAGGUUGCGGCAGUGGCAUACAGAGAAAAGGAUAUUUAAAAUUGAUUGGCAAAACGAUUUCUUUUUCCUACAAACAGCCUUGGAAAAUAAAACUGCAUUAGUUAUGCAUAAACAGAGUAAUGUUUGCUUAUUUAUUUUUUAAAAUAUUAGAAAAUUAUAAAUUAGGGGUUAUCAGGGCAACUUUAAUUUUAAUAUAACACAACAACAUUUACUUUUGGCCCACGGCCCUCAGUCAGGUUUGGCCCUUGUAAGGAAAAUGUUUGGGCACCAAUGAAUGUUCUAGUCUAUCUGAGGAGGUAACUUUUAGCAUAUGAUAAUGCAUGCUUGCACAAAGUCAGACCACAUAUUAUAAUGUUUGUCUUCAAUCAAUCAAUUUAAACAAAAGAGAUGGGGACUUUAUAAUAUAAUAAGGGUCCAUAUAUCACAGUGAAAAAAGACAUACAUGUAUUUUUACUUUAACAUGAACUAAUGCUGAGUUACAGCAUAUCCUAAUAAUAAACUAUUGAAGAGUCAUCAUUAACUACGACAUGUUUUUCAUUGUUAGUUAAUGCAGUCAUUUACAAUAAAUUAAUUUGAGUUCAUGUUGUAGUUAAGUAAGUUCAGUAAGUUACAUGUCUUAACUCAGCAUUAGUUUAUAUUUACUAAUAUUUAAGUAAGAAUUCAUUUAGGUAUACGUUCAAUGUUUCCAAUGAUGAGCAGUUAAUCCACUAAACCCAGAGAUAAUUCCUGAGGCAUGUUUAAAGAGUUUUGUAUUUCAUCAAGAAGGUGCUGCUGAUUCACAAAGAUUUUAUAUUUAAGAAAAUCUGAGCAUCAUUCCAAAUAACUGUUAACAUGUUUGUCAACUAAACAUGUUUUGUAAACGUAAUAAACUUUAUAAAAAUAUUUUUUAUUUUUUAUUAAUAAUCAAGUAUAAAGAACAAUGCAUAGUGUGAAAACGCGGAUUAUAAAAAGUAUAUUAAAGAAAAGGACUACAUUUCCCAGAAUGCACCUGCACCCACUCAUCUGACUGCCCCCACCCUUCAGGUGCGACUGCUCAACCUAUGGGCUUGACGGAAAAUUCAAAUCGCGAACCGUUACUGCCUGGACUACUCCGUCUCUUGUUUGUUUGUUUGCUCAUUAACAGUAAGAGGUCAUGUACACUGUGGUCAACUUUGUGGACGAUGAAGAGGUUUCUGGGUAAAGCUGAUAGAAAUAUAAUGAAGUAACAGUGAAAGCUAAAACAUCAGACUGAUCCAGACACUGAAGAAAUUGAUGUCACUGCAAUCUGGCCAAAAUGAUACAACUAUAUUGAAGUAGCCUACUGUAAUGAAGCUGCAGAACAACACAGAGACUCUGAGGACAUCAACACAGAAAAUGAAGGCUCCAAAGAGAUGUCUGUCCAGAUGAGGGUGCAUCAACGUUACCUUUGCUGACAAGUAUAUGCUUUACAAUGUAAAACCUAACAGUUAACUUAACUCAAACCAUUUAAGGAAAUCGGUUGCCUUAACCCAUUAAGUUU